CCGUUGGUAGCCAUCCCGAGCCCGGCUGCCUCGCGGCCGCAAGGAGAACAGCCACGCGCGCCCCGGGAGCCGGCAGGUUGCGGCGAGCAGGGGCAGCGAACGCGGUUCUCCAAAGCAUAAAGGGGCUGAGCGACAGCGUGCGGGUGCCGGAUUCCAGAAAAUACAAGGCAUUGCUGGACAGCUGUAGCUCUACAUUUAAGUACUCUGACAGUGAAUUACUGAGCAAGAGAGAACAUUCCAAAACCAUCCCAAAUUGUUAUGAAAUGAAUAACACUCAUUUUCUUGCUAGAUGGAUGAUUGAAGCUGCUGAGGAGGCGGGUGACAAGCACACAGAGCUCACUGCUAAACUACUACAAUCAAGGAUGUGCUCUCCCACCUGCAUUCAGGAGCGCUCAAAGAACUGGCUGGGGUUAAUGUAGAAGUGUUACAUGCACAGCAAACCUGUCCGUGUCUGUAGUGUUAGCAGCAAUGGAUGGCUGGUUUUUUUUAUUAAUUACAAUUUUUAAUUAAUACACUAAUUAAUACUAAGCUGCUGCAUCUUCACUGGCGUCUAUUUAUGAUUGCUGUUACCUGUAUUUCAACAAAUUAUAUAUUUGUUCUUCUGCUAGCACAAAGUCACUGUGAUUGUGGAUGCCUAAAGGACUACAUGUCCCUGUAGUGUAACUCACUCUCUCAUGCAGCAUUAGAGGAUACAAAUGUGUGUGUUCUUCAGUAUUACAACAUUUUAUUGAUUUAAAGGACAUUUUACAACAUUCCCUGCACUUAAAAUAGGAAAGGAAAUGAUCCAUCAGUGCUUGUAUUUGUAUUGUUUGCAAGUUGAUCUCUUCCAGGACACAAAGUUUUUGGAGUUCAGAGGACUUUUUUGCUGGCCCUGAGUCUGAGCAUUUAAUAACACUUCGAAAGCAGAAGCAGCAUUGUAUAAGCAUUGAAAAUUGGAAGCAAAAUGCACUUAGAUUAAAAAAUAAACAAGAUUGAGAGGGUUUCUUGCGUACACUAUACUUAGCCCUUUCAGAGAUGAAAAUAAGUAGAUUUCUGAGAUUCUGAAUGCAAAUCUUGGUGCUAAUCAUUUGAAUUUCCAAAAUAAAUAAAAAUUAUCCCCAAACAAAGCCCUGCUAGAAGCACUGAACAUGCCAGUGGCAAGUUCUGCUUCAGACUGCAAGAGAUAAAGUAUGUUAGUGCGUAUCGGUUAGUCUAAUUUAUUCAGUGUCAUUGCCAUAUCACAACCUUCUGUUUGAUUUUCUUAUAAACUAAUAAUUUCCUGAAUGAGCUAAUACAGACACUGCCACUAGUACCUCUGCCUUGUAGAAGUUUUUUAUUGUUGUGUAUGCAACUAAAUUGAAAUAUCUUUCACUUGAAAUAUUGACUUUAAUAUCUCAUUUGAAAAAUUCAUGAAGCCUUUGAUGUUAAAUCCAUACUCAAUUUAGCCAAAUGCCAUUAGAAUAUGCAAUACGCCUGAAUACAGAAAGCAUUAUUGUCUGUGUUUCUGCAGAAGAAUUACAUUUUAUGACUGUAACGUCAGGAUCUUUUUUGGAUUUGUGCAUGAAGAAAAGAAAGAGAAAAGCAGCACAUUAGAAGUAAAAUGAAAAGUGGUAUUGAUUAGGCGCUCAUUUACCCUCUUUGCUUCAGUCCCUAAAUGCAUGGAAAUAAGGGUUGUGCCACUGCAAGUAACAAUGCUCCAUAAUGAAUGGAACAAUCUUUAGAAAAUUAGUGUAAACAUGUAUGAUAGUGCACAGAUGUUGCUCCUAGUAACUGUCGCACAUUUAUUUUACAUCUUCAUUUACAUAUGUCUCUUUAUUUCCUAAUAGUAUCAUAAUAGAAAGAUGACAAUAGUUAAUGAUUUCAUAAAACAUGCAAUGUAAAGACUGAUGGAGAGGUAGAACAUUAAUUGAAACCUAUAGGUAGUGUACAUCAGAAUUACAUCUCUGAAAAUGACUCAUGAUAGAAAUAUCCCUCCUUUACAGUGAAAGACAAAGACAGGUAAAAAAAAAAACAACACCAACAAACAACUAGGCUUUCAGCAAAUUAAUUUUUUUUUCCAGUAAAACAGAGACUGGCAAAUGUUGCAAAAUCUCUUGAAUGCUAAUAGAAUGGUAUUUGCCUUUAGUAAUUUAUGGGCACUUUUCUCCCAGCUAUCGAUCACAUUUAAAAAAAGUAAACUGCAUUAACAUUUUAGGCAAUAAUGGCUCCAGAAAAUGUCUGAUUUUUAUCACUACCAAAACUGAUGACAUGAUACUUGGUUCCUUAGCAGAGGUGAGAGAGUGGUAGCUCUCAGAGUGAGUGAGUAUGCCUGCAGUGCACUAAUGGAAGAGCACUGAGUGAGCUGGAGCUGGAGCAAUGCUUGGAGCUUGGUUUCUUGUCUGAAAACAUAAAGAAUAUGUUGAUGGGACAAGCCAGGAGGCUGCUGUGUAGCAGCACAACGAAAUGCCCAGAGGACCUUGGAGUGUGGGGAUUGUAAUGACCAUGGUAAAUCGAAGCAGGAGGGAGCAGAGCUGCUCUCUGCCACCAUCUUCUGGCCAGUCUCUGGGACAGAAACCUCUGCAGGCUUCAGUCUCCUGUUGCCUCUCCAAGAGGAACAAG
rnacentral:lncRNA from 1 species